rnacentral:rRNA from 1 species
UACAGAGGGUGCGAGCGUUGUCCGGAAUCACUGGGCGUAAAGGGCGCGUAGGUGGUGGCUUAAGCGGUGCGGUGAAAGCUCGGGGCUCAACCCCGAGCGGCCGUGCGAACUGGGCUCACUGGAGCAUAGUAGAGGCAGGUGGAAUUCCGGGUGUAGCGGUGGAAUGCGAGAGAUCCGGAAGAACACCGGUGGGCGAAGGCGGCCUGCUGGGCAGUUUAGCUGACACUGAGGGCGCGGACAGCGUGGGGAGCAAACAGG